rnacentral:lncRNA from 1 species
UGACAAGUGAUAAACCCAAAAUAUUAACUUGUGAAAAAACGGAGGAGGAAAUGGUGGUACAAGACAAUGAAAAUAUCAUAGAAGGUGAUGCUGAAAGUAAAAACGUAAUAAAAAAAGAUAGUUUUGAAAUAGACUUUGUAAAUAAUAAUUAUGUUGAUGAUAUUCUAAACGGAUUGAGCGACGAUGAAAUUUUAAACGACAAAGAAAGUCUAAGUCAAAAUAAUAGUAACAAUAAUAAACAAGAAAGUGAUUACUUUUAUAUUAAUGAUAUACUAAAAAAAAGAUACCCAACAGAAUAUGAAAAAAAUAAAAUAUAUCCAAAGGUUUAUUGUUAUGACCCUGAAGACUUUGAAGAAUUUAAAAAAAAAAUCAAAAACAAAAAUGAGUUAAGGCAUUAUGAAUGUUAUUCUUCUACUAUGAAUGAAUUUUUUUAUAAAUAUAAUCAAGAUUAUUAUGAUGAAAUUUUAAAAAAUGAUAAAUUUAAAUUGUUUGCAGAAGAAUUAUGGUUAAAUAGGGCUAAUAUAAAUACAGAACAAGAGUACCAAGAUUUUUGUAUUAAAUUGAGAAAGAAAUAUAAAGUUAGUCCAUCAAAACAUAAAAUAAGUGUUGCCUUACAACAUUAUAACUUACAAUCGUUAAAAGAAAAUAAAAAUUGUACAAAUGGGUAUAGUAAUGAUGGCAAUAUUGUUGUUGAAAAUGUUAAUGAACAGAAUGUUUAUAACAAUAAAGAUAGUACAAACAGCAGCAGCGAAACAUGUUAUACUAAUUUGACUUUAAAUGAAUUGUCUGUUUGUGAUGACACAACUAAUGAGGAUGUAUGUUAUAAUAAACACAGUGGGGUUAAUAAAAAAAACAAAAUUUUAAAAAAUGUUGUUACUAAUGAGUAUGGUAAUGUUGACGGUAUGUCGGCUACUUCGGACUGGUCAACUAUUAAUGUUGAGUCGGUUAACCAAGCUGGGUUGAUGAACCAAACCCAGUCGAUUAACCAAGUUGAGCCGACCAAGAGACCCAAAAAAGACGUACAAUUCGUUUUCGAAAAUGUGACCAAAAUGAUAAUUAAUAAAGAUAUGAAAAACUAUAAAGAUCUUGAUAAAAAUAGUGUAAAUUUUUUACAAAUAAACAAACGAAAAGGUGUUCGAUCAAAUAGUGGUGUUUUAGUUGUAACUAUAAUUACACACCCUCAUAAAUUCAGCUGUAAAUAUGACUGUCACUAUUGUCCAAAUGAACCAAACCAACCAAGAU